AUUGAACGCUGGCGGCAUGCCUAACACAUGCAAGUCGAACGAGUGGCGGACGGGUGAGUAAUGUCUGGGAACAUGCCUGAUAGAGGGGGAUAACUACUGGAAACAGUGGCUAAUACCGCAUACCAUCGGAUGUGCCCAUAUGGGAUUAGCUAGUCGGUGGGGUAAAGGCUCACCUAGGCGACGAUCCCUAGCUGGUCUGAGAGGAUGACCAGCCACACUGGAACUGAGACACGGUCCAGAAUCCUACGGGAGGCAGCAGUGGGGAAUAUUGAACAAUGGGCGCAAGCCGGAUGCAGCCAUGCCGCGUGUAUGAAGAAGGCCUUCGGGUUGUAAAGUACUUUCAGCGGGGAGGCGUUAACCGCAGAAGAAGCACCGGCUAACUCCGUGCCAGCAGCCGCGGUAAUAC
rnacentral:rRNA from 1 species